rnacentral:rRNA from 1 species
CCUACGGGUGGCAGCAGUGAGGAAUAUUGGUCAAUGGACGAGAGCCUGAACCAGCCAAGUAGCGUGAAGGAUGACUGCCCUAUGGGUUGUAAACUUCUUUUAUACAGGAAUAAAACGAGGCACGUGUGCCUUUUUGCAUGUACUUUAUGAAUAAGGAUCGGCUAACUCCGUGCCAGCAGCCGCGGUAAUACGGAGGAUCCGAGCGUUAUCCGGAUUUAUUGGGUUUAAAGGGAGCGUAGGCGGGAUGUUAAGUCAGGUGUGAAAGUUCGGGGCUCAACCAUAGCAGUGCAGUUGAAACUGGCGGUCUUGAGUGCAGUGGAGGUAGGCGGAAUUCGUGGUGUAGCGGUGAAAUGCUUAGAUAUCACGAAGAACCCCGAUUGCGAAGGCAGCAUACUGAAGUGCGACUGACGCUGAUGCUCGAAGGUGUGGGUAUCGAACAGGAUUAGAUACCCUUGUAGUC